rnacentral:rRNA from 1 species
AUUGAACGCUGGCGGCAGGCUUAACACAUGCAAGUCGAGCGGGGUGAUGGUGCUUGCACUAUCACUUAGCGGCGGACGGGUGAGUAAUGCUUAGGAAUCUGCCUAUUAGUGGGGGACAACAUCUCGAAAGGGAUGCUAAUACCGCAUACGUCCUACGGGAGAAAGCAGGGGAUCACUUGUGACCUUGCGUUAAUAGAUGAGCCUAAGUCGGAUUGGCUAGUUGGUGGGGUAAAGGCCUACCAAGGCGACGAUCUGUAGCGGGUCUGAGAGGAUGAUCCGCCACACUGGGACUGAGAAACGGCCCAGACUCCUACGGGAGGCAGCAGUGGGGAAUAUUGGACAAUGGGGGGAACCCUGAUCCAGCCAUGCCGCGUGUGUGAAGAAGGCCUUAUGGUUGUAAAGCACUUUAAGCGAGGAGGAGGCUCUUUUGGUUAAUACCCAGAAUGAGUGGACGUUACUCGCAGAAUAAGCACCGGCUAACUCUGUGCCAGCCGCCGCCGUAA